CGUGUUCAUCGGGCGGCCGCCUCUGCCUUGUGCAGGGGAGGAAAGUCCGAACUCCGCAGGGCAGGGUGCCGGAUAACGUCCGGGCGCCGAAAGGCGACGGAAAGUGCAACAGAAAAGACACCGCCCGUCCCGCGUCGCUUCGGCGACAAGGGAAAGGUAAGGGUGAAAUGGUGCGGUAAGAGCGCACCGGCAGUCUGGCAACAGGCUGGCCUGGCAAACCCCACCCGGAGCAAGACCGCGUAGGAAUGCCGUCUCCGGAACUGCGCUGCCCGUGCAGUGAACACAGCCACGCAUGACGCCACGCGUCAUGCCGAAGCGAUUGUCCCGGCAUUCGGGUAGGUCGCUCGAAUCCCGCGGCAACGCGGGAUCCAGAUAGAUGGCCGCCUCGUCCCGCUCCGCUCCGGCGGGCGGGAUAGACAGAAUUCGGCUUACAGAUGGACGCGGGCU
rnacentral:RNase_P_RNA from 1 species